GAAGGUCGUGCUCCACGUGUUGUCGGCAAAGUAACUAUAUUCUUUAACUUUUACUUACAUUUGCCUUGGUGGCUUUAAGACCUUGGUGGUCAUUUAUAUAUGCCUUGGUGGCAAAAGACCUAGGUGGUCAUUUAUAUAUGCCUUGGUGGCAAUAGACCUAGGUGGUCAUUUUUAUAUGCCUUGGUGGCAAUAGACCUAGGUGGUCAUUUUUUGAUUUUUUACAUUUGCCUUUGAUGGCAAACAAUGAAUUAAAAUAAAACUAGCCUUGGGGCAUCAAGACCUUGGUGGGUCAUUUAUAUUCGCCUUGGCGGCUUCUUGAUAGAACUAGAUGUAAUGUUUGACCUUGGUGGCAAAAUGUUUGGGAUUUAGACCUUAGGUAGUUAUUUAUCAACCCAGGUGGUCAGAUAUUUGUUUAUGCCGUGCGCCGGUUAAACGCAGGGCAAAGUGCUAUCGCUAUAUAAAUAUAUGUGGAAGUGGGGGCUCUGGCCAUUUUGGAAAAUUGUAGUUGAAAGGAGAAUAAUAAAUUGUUUAUAGGGUAAAUAGUUUCUUUUGUUACUUUUGGCUGUGUUGUGGACUUCAUUUAUUUUUACAUCGUACAUACUGAUAGAAAUGCUAUUUAAAGACUUUGUUAGAAAAGAAUAGAAUUAUUGAGAAAGUGGAAUAGUUUAGUGUGACAUGUCACUUGAUAUUCAUGUUUUUUUAUCGGAGUGAUGUGUAUUGAAUUAUAAGGUGUCUUCGUCGAGGUCCGCGUUCAGCGGUCUGUUUGAUUGUACAUUGAAUGUAAAUUGAAUAGAAUGUUUUUGUUUUCAGAUGGUGUUACCUACAGCUUUGACAGGGUGACGAAUGAAGGAGAAGUAAUAUGACAUUGCACGAUGAUUCAUGUCAAUGAGUUUGAACAACCUUUUUAAAAGGAAAGGAUUUUUUCUAAUCAGAACAUGGUGAGAACAAAUUGCAAUUGAAGUAAUGUUUUGAUUUCUGAAAAUAGGAAAAUAAUGCAUGGGGAAAAUAUCGAUACUACACCAAAUUAUGUAUGUCUGUGUUGAGAAAGGCAGAAGAUGCCAAUAUGGCACGGCACUAAAAAAAAAAAAAAAUCUGUGAUGGAAGCAGCUUUAUGUUCAAAUGAACCUAUUUAAAAGUAAUGCUAAUAAUUUUUCCUAAUUUCAUGAUGUUUUCUAUUGGAUGUGUAAUUAAUUUCAUUGAUGUGUUGAAAUAUGUCACAAAAAUCUUUUUGUCAUGGGAGAUUAAAUAAUGGUUGCAAUAUUUUGUUUUGUUUUAUCUAAAUUAAUAAAUAAAUAUAAUGUUGAAUGAUUUUGUAUACUAGUACAAAUGUAUACUUAAAUUUUAUGUAUGGUUAAAUUUUUUUAAUUUAAAUUUCUUUGUCUACAGUUCGAGGGGACACUGAUUCCCUAGUGGUUUUUCCACGUGGAUUGUAGGCAAAGGGAUUUUUCCUUUUCAAAGUGUGACUAAUGCUGUCUUUAGUACAAAUACACAAUUUGUUAUUGGUUAAUAUAUUUUCAGUAGACAUGUGAAGAAUCGAGUGGAAAUACAAUUGUCAAUGUUCCUGAUUAUGAAGUAAAGAGUGUGUUUGAUUCAACAACAG
rnacentral:lncRNA from 1 species